CUGGAAAGGGGUGGGGUAAAAGCAGGUGAUGGAAAGCCUGCUGGGAAAGGAGUCAGAAGAAACUCAGUAAUAAACGGGAGGAAUCGGCAAGCUAUUUAACCCUUUCCGUAGCACUGGGGGAAGUAACCACAUCUAAACUGUCCAGACCCCCAACUUUGUAAGCACACUAGGAGCAAGUCUGACAAAAAGAAUGACUGCCUCAAGCUGGAGAGGGAAUGACUUUCAGGGAUCUUGCAGUUCUGCUGCUCCAAUCCUGUGAGCAUGCUGCAGCCGAGUUUUUCUGUCCAUGGACUGCUCUGAACAGAGAAUAUCAUCCCCAAACUGAACGCAGAAUGCAAAAUAUCCUCAAGCACAGGUUCUAUGAAAAGCUCAGCUGUACGUGUCAAUGUUGUUGGAAAGAAAGGAUCCAGUGAUGGCCCAACAUGCUUUCCAUUGCUUUCUUUCAUCUCUAGCUGGAAAAAAAUAAAUGAUAUCAGUUAUCGUGUUUCAAAAUAAAAGGAAAACAUCACCAGAACUUGAAAAAUGUGAAAGGAUACUAUUUCAAAUAUUGACAAAACAAUAAUUAUAUGAUUGGAACUAAUUUAUAAUUUUACU